UCAGUUUCUUCCCACAGCAAAUACACAGACAGUAGUAUACAAAUCUUCUAUAAGUUUUGAGUCCCUGUUUCAUCAUAUUGGGACAAUGAUGUGUGUAUAUAUAUGAAUAUAAAAUAGUAGGCAUACAUAUUGGUUAUAUAUGUUAAUUUAGGGUUUAUAUAUAUAUGGGUGAGUCACAAGAUUUGGCGGUAUAUGAUCGGAGACGAUCUGCUCAAUUUUGCUGUCCUCUCGUGGAGGGAUUGGCGGUAAGAGAGGUGACAGAAGAGAGUGAGCACACAUGGUGGCUUUCUUGCAUGCUUUCAUCACAAAACAAAACUAGGGUUUCGUGCUUGAAGCUAUGUGUGCUCACUCUCUAUCUGUCACCCCUUCUCUCUCUCUAUUGAUCAUGCUUAACUAUGAAGAAAUGGGUUUUAGCAAAAUUAAAAUUGGAGAUAUGGGAUAUGGUUAUGAGAUCUAUAUAAUCAUAUGAUUUGAACUGAUUAAUUCUACUUUAUAGAUGAAGCAGAUCAUAUCUCUGAACUAUAUGAUACUGUUGAAAGCAUUGGAAACGAAGCGGGAUGGAUCGGGCAGCCAUAAUCACAGGAUCACUUCCAUCUCUUGAUUCAUGUUCAUCCAAAUACACAAUUUGAUUUAUGCUUUGAUUUUCCUCAAAAUGAUCAAAUUGAUUGUGCUAAUUUGUGUAAUUAUGAGUCGUAGGACAAAUUAAUUGGAUGCUAUGAGGUCUUUGCAACAAAUAGAAGAUUCCAAAGGAGGAGAAGAAAAAAACCUUUUUUAAGAUUUAUGACAUAAAACUGAUUGGGAGCUUCUUCCAUAUGAACGGUCGGUCCAUUUUUUUUUUUAAUCUUCACCUGUUAAAUGUUAACUCUAUUCAUUAAAAAAACAUGCACAAAAACUUUGAAUCUAGACCUCGAGAGCCCAAUAAUAUAUUCAACUCUAAUUUUUAGAAUGCUUUGUUUUAAACCAAAUUAAAAAAACCCAAUUCGAAUUUAAAACGACCAUAAAAAUAACGGAGAAAAAUGUAAAUGAAAUAAAAAUCUUAGUAAUGUUUUUCAGAAUUCAUGUUUAAACGAAUAAACGUAAUUUUUACCAGUAUGAUUAAAAAAUAAAAAAUUCACCCAAUUUUGAUAAUUGAAUCGAUGGAAUGGAAACACAAAACGAAAUCUAUUAUAUUCCAAUAAGAUUUUAGUCCGAUAGAUCCAAUUGGAUAAUGCGUUGUCAAACCGUACUUGCAACCACAUGGUCAUGUCAUGCCAUGUCAUAUCAUGUACAUCACUGAAUGUUGCUCGAUUUGGAUAGUCAUAACUCUCUCUCUCUCUCUCUCUCUCUCUCUCUCUCUCUCUCUCUCUCUCUCUCUCUCUGGACAAACAGGAAGGUUAUAAAUGGGCUUGGAGUUGGGCAUAUUAAUGGGCUUGGGCUCCACGUCAACAUGCAUUUUAUUUUUUUUUGUUUAUUAAUUUUUCCCUAUAAUUAUAUUGGUGGCGGUGGUUCAAUUCAAUUCAACGACCUUAAUAGAUGAUUGUUUCCGAAAGUUGCAUGCCCUCGAUUUGUAUCAUUAUAUCAAUGCUUAAUAAUAGAGAAUUCGGAUAA